GGCCCUAUAGCUCAAAUGGAUAGAGCGACUCCCUCCUAAGGAGUAGGCUGGCGGUUCAAUUCCGUCUAGGGUCA
rnacentral:tRNA from 1 species